AGGUCAUAUUCUUAACUAUCGAUCGCGGCACUAUAAUGUCGCAGACGGAUCGUCGUGUCUGCCCGGCAAACAAACAUUGUAGUGGCAAGCGCAUGGUUCAUUAAGCAGGGCGACUUCCAGAAACGUCGACUCGUGCCCGUAUUUUACCUCGCGUAAAAGAAUGUGGCGUGAUCCGAACGUAGUGGGGGUCGCCUUCCAGAAAAAAACGAAAAAAAUCGAAAGGCGUUCAGAACUUUUCGAGAUGUCGAACCGUCAACACAUGUGGCGCUUGGCCAUGGAUCGUUGCAUUAGGUUUUCGUAAUCCCCGAAACCCAGACAAACCACUAUGGAAGUGCGGAGGUUCCCUGAUAUCGGCUAGGCAUGUUUUGACCGCAGCACAUUGUGCACAUAUGGAUGGAAUAGAAAACAUACACAAUCAUAAUAUUGUCAUUCUUAGAUUGGUGGAGGAGGUGCCAUUUUCGAGGUACGUAUAUCCCAUUUGUACGAAAGAGCCCCUACGAAAGAGCAACUUCGUCGGCUAUAACCCCCUUGUUGCUGGAUCGGGAGCAUUAAGAUAUAG